CUGGCUCAGGAUGAACGCUGGCGGCGUGCUUAACACAUGCAAGUCGAACGAAGCAGUUUAUCACGAACCCUUCGGGGUGACGAUUUACUGACUGAGUGGCGGACGGGUGAGUAACGCGUGGGUAACCUGCCUUGUACAGGGGGACAACAGUUGGAAACGACUGCUAAUACCGCAUAAGCGCACAGUGUUGCAUGACACAGUGUGAAAAGAUUUAUCGGUACAAGAUGGACCCGCGUCUGAUUAGCUAGUUGGUGAGGUAACGGCCCA
rnacentral:rRNA from 1 species